rnacentral:rRNA from 1 species
AGCGGAGGAAAAGAAACUAACAAGGAUUCCCCUAGUAGCGGCGAGCGAAGCGGGAAGAGCUCAAAUUUAUAAUCUGGCACCUUCGGUGUCCGAGUUGUAAUCUCUAGAAAUGUUUUCCGCGUUGGACCGCACACAAGUCUGUUGGAAUACAGCGGCAUAGUGGUGAGACCCCCGUAUAUGGUGCGGACGCCCAGCGCUUUGUGAUACAUUUUCGAAGAGUCGAGUUGUUUGGGAAUGCAGCUCAAAUUGGGUGGUAAAUUCCAUCUAAAGCUAAAUAUUGGCGAGAGACCGAUAGCGAACAAGUACCGUGAGGGAAAGAUGAAAAGCACUUUGGAAAGAGAGUUAACAGUACGUGAAAUUGUUGGAAGGGAAACGCUUGAAGUCAGACUUGCUUGCCGAGCAAUCGGUUUGCAGGCCAGCAUCAGUUUUCCGGGAUGGAUAAUGGUAGAGAGAAGGUAGCAGUUUCGGCUGUGUUAUAGCUCUCUGCUGGAUACAUCUUGGGGGACUGAGGAACGCAGUGUGCCUUUGGCGGGGGUUUCGACCUCUUCACACUUAGGAUGCUGGUGGAAUGGCUUUAAACGACCCGUCUUGA